CUAGGCAGUUAUAGCGGAUGUGAUCCACGCGAUUCCAUUCCGAACUCGACUGUGAAACCAUUCAGCGCCGAUGAUACUUCCGCUUAAGCGAGAGGGAAAGUAGGUCACUGCCUGGC
rnacentral:rRNA from 1 species